UGACCUGAUGUAACCUCCCCAUCACAAGAUCCAUCACAAGCCUCUCACUGAUGACUCACACCUGACCCAUCACAAGACCCUCAUUUGACACACUCACAUUGGAAGCUCUUAUAAACGAAAAGCACCGAGACAGACAUCCCCUAAACUCUGCUGAAGAUGUUACCUAGCCUGGUAAUGAAAUAUUUGGAAACCAACUCACAAGCUUGGAGAAUGAAUCUUCAGCCUCAUCCUACAUCUGAGCUAAAAUUAUUAGCUACUAUUAGAUACGACAGUUGCUUUUACAAAUGAGCAAAACAAAUUCCUGUACUUGAUCUUCUAUAAUCUAAGACUGAAAAAAAGCAGAAAAAAAUUAAUGGCCCCUGUGAUGUUAUGUACAGCACUAGACUGACACUGGCUUAAAAUGAUUGUUAACUGUAUUGCUGUUUUAGGGUUUUCAUCCUUGUUCAUACAUCUUUCAAGGGCAACCUCAAGAUAUAUGGGUUCCACAUAGCCAUGUAGUGAAUGUUACAUAUUGAAGAAAAACACAUGGAUUUACCUUUCUUGUACAGGAUCAUGUGGAUGAAAUACAGUAUUUGUGGGAGUCUGAAAUGUGUCUUUUCUCACAUGCUAUGGUUAUGUUUGGCUUGUAAGAGGGAAUGUCUUAAGCUACCUGGUUUUCAAGCAAUGGUCUUCCAGUGGUGGAAAACAAGUGUGAAUUCUUUAUCCCACUUUCAUGGAAGUAAGGCUCAUUAAAUUCAAUGAGUCUUAACUUGCUCUGAGUAAACAUGUAGAAAGUUCAGCUGUAAAAAUCCUGUGCUGUGGUAAUGAAGCCUAUAAAUGACAAAAUGGAGAAAUAUUUUAGUCGAAGUAUCUCUGUUCUAUGCAUUUGGUAACAGUUAGAGUAAGGCCAUAAAAAAUUGUUAUAGAAACCAUUACAACAACUAUGACUUAAAGACAUCUUUCACUUUUGAAAACCUUUCAGUGGCCCAGUUAAAGCAUCAGCUGAAAACCAGAAGGUAAGUUCUAGUUCCACCUGAGGCACAAAACAUUUGGUAACCUUGAGCGAGUCAGUCUCUCUUAGCCUUGGAAGAAAGCAAGGGCAAACCACUUCCAAAUUCUUACGAAGAAAACUUAAAGGACUAUUCCUUGCGGUUGCCAAUGGUGAAGACUUGAAGGCUCCCCUACCCCAAAUUUCAUCUCUGAUAUUAACAUUUUGAUUACAAUGUAGUCAUUACAAGCUGCUUAAUACAAUGUUCUGAAGGAAAUAGUUUCAUUAUGCAAUUUUUUUUGUAAAACCGCAAUAGUACUUGCAAGAAAUAUCUAGCUAUCUUAGUAGUCCACAGAUUAAGCAUCAAUCAAUAGUGCAACAGUCAAAAAAAGCUCAUGUAAUCUUGGCCUGCAUCAGUAGAGGUAUAAUAUCAAGAUUACAGGAAGUGAUAUUUCCUCUCUAUAUUACACUGGUAAGACCACCCUUGAGAUACUGUGUGUAGUCUCAGUCAUCAUGCAAGUAGACUGCUGAGGAGAUAGAAGACAAAGAAGAGCAACAAAGAUACUGAGGAACUUGGUGGCUAAACCCUAAGAAGGAUUAUUGAAAGAACUGGAUAUGUUUAGCCUAAGAAGAGAAGGCUAAGCAGAGACAUCAUAGCAGUCUUUCAGUAAUUGAAGAAUUGUCACAGAGAAGAGGGUAUUACAGACAGUUUUCACUUAAUGAUUCUAAGUGGGAUGGGAUGACAGGUGCAUGUUGCAGGCAUAAAUGUGGACAGGCUGCCAAGCACUCAAAUUAUGAUCACUUGACCCUAGGGCACACCUGUACUGUGAGGACCAGCCAUAACUAUCAUUUGUUCAUACUUGGUUACUUGAAAUAAAAGGAAAUUUCCCAACUAA